GUGCGUGAAGCACGACUUGUACGGGCAACGCACGGUCCUCACGUGCAGCUGAGACGUUUGUUUAUCCAAGUCUAACGACUUCUUGUUAAGGUAACAGAAUCAUACACGUGGCUGUACAGUUGCAAGAAGAGCAAACAGAAAUUCGUCACAAGCAUCCAACUGACAUUGAUAUAUAUCAGAUGUGGGAUUAGAAGGUGACCCAUUGAUAAUAUGGAUGCAGGACUAGAGACAGAACUAUAUACAGAAGCAUUCACGGCCAUAUGCAUCUCAAACGGAAGUCAUCUGUUAUUCCGUGAUGGGACUUUCUACCAAGCAUGACCCUGUUUGUCCGUGAGGCCGUUGUUGAUGAUUCUUCUCAGACUGUCAGGAAUUCGGUAGAGACCAAGUGGUAUCUUAACCUCGAGACGGUCAUUCCCCACCCUGGAAAACACACAUACAAUAAUCGUCGUCAACCUUGGACAAGUUGACUUCUUAAAACUGUUUCAAACAUUGGUUUACAUUAUGCCAACCCUAUAAAAAUGAAAGCUGAUGUCAUAUGUUCCACAGCCGGAAUACUGCUGAGUGCGACAUUAAACAAAGAACUACAUCUUAUACCUGGGCAGUGGCAGGCCAUCCACAACUUUAGAAACCCGAGCGUGCUUCCUUGUCUUCGGUCUCUUGUCCAUCUUUGUUCCCUGUGUUGGUUUCAUCUGCUCGAUGAUGUCAUUCCGGCACUUGGCGUGGAGAUACCGCACAAUGUGGAACAUCACAUGACUGUCAUGGCUCAAGCAGAACAGCAGCGCCAGGGGGGAGUGGAAGCUCCCGACAUUACGAGCUUGUACCUUGAUUUUUAUGUGAUAUGAUUCCCCUGCAACACAAAAGGAACAGGCAAAUUACAGCCAGUUGUCAGUGUUCCCGCGGGCUUGUGAAACUGACAGUCCUGGUGGACUGGCAACUCUAAAAACUACCAGCCCCCCUUAAUAUUUGUCAGUCCCAACUUUCAACAAAUAAAAAAAUGUAUGAAAAA